AUGCUGGCUUUGGCAGCACGUAUACUAGAAUUGGAACGACACAGAGAAGAUUAGCAUGGUCCCUGUGCAAGGACGACACGCAAAUUGGUGAAGCGUUCCAUAUUUUU
rnacentral:snRNA from 1 species